UACGGAGGUGGCAAGCGUUGCUCGGAAUCACUGGGCGUAAAGGGCGCGUAGGCGGGGAGGUAAGUCGGGUGUGAAAUCCCUCGGCCCAACUGAGGAACUGCGCCCGAGACUGCUUCUCUUGAGUCCCGGAGAGGAAGAUGGAAUUCCCGGUGUAGCGGUGAAAUGUGUAGAGAUCGGGAGGAACACCGGUGGCGAAGGCGGCAUCCUGGACCAAUAUUGACGCUGAGGAGCGAAAGCCAGGGGAGCAAACGGG
rnacentral:rRNA from 1 species